rnacentral:piRNA from 1 species
UAAGGCACUAUCAUUUCAAAAGACUCAUAAUC